AAGCCAGUGCGCAUGCGUCUC
rnacentral:misc_RNA from 1 species